GAUGAACGCUGGCGGCGUGCCUAAUACAUGCAAGUCGAGCGAACGGACGAGAAGCUUGCUUCUCUGAUGUUAGCGGCGGACGGGUGAGUAACACGUGGAUAACCUACCUAUAAGACUGGGAUAACUUCGGGAAACCGUAGCUAAUACCGGAUAAUAUUUUGAACCGCAUGGUUCAAAAGUGAAAGACGGUCUUGCUGUCACUUAUAGAUGGAUCCGCGCUGCAUUGGCUAGUUGGUAAGUUAACGGCUUACCAAGGCAACGAGGCAUAGCCGAACUGAGAGGGUGAUCGGCCACCUUGGAGCUGGGACAGCGUCCAGACCCCUAAGGGAGGCAGCAGUAGGGAACCUUACGCAAUGGGCGAAAGCCUGACGGAGCAACGCCGCGUGAGUGAUGAAGGCCUUCGGAUCGUAAAACUCUGUUACUAGGGAAGAACAUCUGUGUAAGUAACUGUGCCCAUCUUGACGGUAACUAAUCAGAAAGCAACGGCUAACUACGUG
rnacentral:rRNA from 1 species